CACAAACAAAGAUAACUCAUGUGAGAUUAAAACUGGCUCAAGUUCAUAUCUUGUGCAAAGAUUAACCGUAAUAGAAAUCCCCAAAUUUUAGGCUUAGUGUUUUACCUGCUCUAACAUACAUACACUAUGCUGUUUAGGAGUCUUGAGAAGAGAAAAAUAUAAACAAACUCUUAACCACUACUAUGCUGACAUAAUGCCCAACAAAUUCUCACACAUGAAAUACUGCAAUUAAGAGUCACUAAGAGUCACUAACAGCUGAAACCAAAUUCCUUGUAUGUGUCAACACACUUGGCCAAUAAAGCUGAUUCUGAUUCUGAACAGAUGAGUUACAGCUUUCACCCUGCUCGAAACACAAGCUAAGCUGGUCAAGCUGGUUUUUAGCUGGUUAUUACUUGCCCAAAUUUCUCAUUUCUUGAAUAAAUUGAUUAAUAAAUGUUUGGAAACGAUUCCUCGAGUAACUUGAGCAAUUCAAAUACAAAAAAAACCAUUAUUUGUUCAGUCUAUUGAACUACAACACGGAGCACUGUUUCCCCACAGACCACUUUUACUAACGCACCACCCGCUAAACACCAGACCACUCUGGGGUCUUAUUUAGAAACGUGGCAUAACGACACUUACCAUGCAAAGGUUGUGAUUUAAAAAAAAAAAAAAAACUUGACGGGAGAAUGUACGCAUCUGUAAAUAAACUCUUUCAACGCGUUGCCACUCGCACUACUUCUUUUUAUUAGUGAUUCCACUGCUGUGGCCACCAAAUAAUGUUUUCCGGGCCUUCACCUCGUCUACAAGUGUGUGUAUGUCAGUGUCUAAGAAUUGCUCUUUUCUUAUAUGUCCCUAUUAAUCACCCUAACGAAAGAAAAAUGGCAUAACAGGCUCAUUAAUAUGGUUCAUCAUUCAUGAGGUGGUUUGCAUUGACUAUUUAUAGUUAAAAGUGGCCAUGUACAGGGUGGGAUUUGAGGCUGAUUCAUGUACGCAUAUGAUUAAUAAAGAGAACUUACAGGUUGCAGGUGUGUGUAUUUUUGGGCGUAUGCUAUUGUUGACUUUUGGGCACAAGUACACUUUAAGUAAGAGUCCUACACACAGUUUUAUAAAUGAGAACCCUGGACAGGUAAACAUAGAAGAUGCUGAAGAAAGAAAAAUGGAAGAACAUGGAGAAAACAGUGAGGGGUGAGGAGAAGAUUCAGGCCAAAGAAACCAACAGAAAGUUUCCAACAUUUGGGAUCAUUUCAAACUAAAUUAAAAAGAAAACAACACAUUUAGAUUUUUUUUAAAGCAAUCUGAAAUGGAUUUUUCUAUUAUAUAAGCUACAAGGUGGCACAGUGGUGCAAUCAGUGUCUCUCACACCUUCAGACACCCUGGUUUGAUCCCAACAACUGUGUGUAUAAAAUUUCAGUGUAUGUCCUCAGUGAACGGUUUCCUUCCUGUUCACCAGUUUCAUCCCACUUCCAAAAAACUAGUCAGUGCAUAGACUGGUUACUUCGAUGUGCAUGGUGCAUGGGAUCAAGGUCCCUUUCAGUGUCAUGGCUUAUUCAUGUGAUAGGCUCCAUCACAUCCCUGACAAAGAUCAAGUGGUGGUGGGGUUUUUUUUUAACUAAAAGUGAAGGUAUGAGUCAACAUGUCAAUGAUGCACCAGUUGGCAGAGUUGGUCUACAAGCCUACCUCAAGCUCAAACUAAAAGGAAUUUGUCAACAGAGGUUGUAAAAACCACUUUAACCCUAAAAGUGUGUAGGAGAAUCUCAGGACUUAAAGUUAAAGUCUCCUUGAAGCCACCUGGACCAGCCAAUAAGACGUGUCCGGGGCUCGCGCGUCUCCUCGUCAGUGAUCUAAAUCCCUCGCGCGUCUCCUUGUCAGUGAUAUAAAUCCCUCGCGCGUCUCCUUGUCAGUGAUAUAAAUCCCUCGCGCGACGCAGAAAGAUCUAGAAUAAGGCAGAAACUUUUUACCUCAGACUCGACUGACAAUAAAAACACUCAUUAACACAAAUGUACGUGUUCGUAUAGUAAGAAAGAAUGCAGGGAUGUGAUGUCAAAGAGAAGAGGACUUUAUUCAGCAGCUAUGAAGUCAAGCAGUCCCAUGGAAGCACCAAAAAACUGACAACUUAAAGCGUGGCCACCGUGUAAUUAAAAAAUCAUUCAGACCCUGUUUUGGGAGGGGGAGGAAUAAACAGGAGCAUCUGAAGGAAGCCCACAUAGGCAUAAGGAGAAGACAUGAAACUUCACAGAGAAAGGAAGAAUCUUUGUAUGUCCAAGAAGUUUUUCCAAGUUAUGAGACCCUUCUCCUGGAAUUGUUACGUCCAAUACUGGUGAUGCUACUUUUGCGGGAGAGAAUGGGAGUUGGCGCAGUGGGCGAGGGU